UCAAAAUAUUUUGUCAAUUUUAUUUGUGUAUAAAUUAUUAAAUAAAAACAUUUCCCAAUAGCUUUAAAAAAAACAAACAAAAAACAUGAAUUUAAUAAAACAAAGGCAACAUCAAAAAUAAAAACCAACCUAGAACCAAAUAUUAGUUCCUAGUACAAAGUCUAGUAUGGAUAAACUGAUGGUCACUUACUUCUACCAUUUGUUGAUUUUUUAACAAGGGACAAAAAAAUAAAACAUUAAGAGCAUUAUUACUAGAUCAAUAAUAUCUGCAUCAGUGGAUGAGUCUGUCUGAUUCAAGAGUAAUUCUAGCUGACCAGUGGUCAGUAGUUACAAUGGUUGGGAUAUUUAUUGAACUGUUUAUCAGUAUAAAGUUUAACACAUGCAUUACAGAAGAUAAUAAUAUCAAUUCACAUUUGAUCAGUGCCCACUUCAAUGGAAUAACCCUGACCAGUGGCAGAAUGUAUAAGUAAUCAACCUAAAGUAAAAAAUUUACUUUCUAAAAGAUUAUUUCAACUUCAGAUGACCAGAGGCUCAUGACCAGAGGCCAGAUGACCAGAGGCCAGAUGACCAGAGGCCAGG